rnacentral:rRNA from 1 species
UUCAGAGGGUGCGAGCGUUAAUCGGAAUUACUGGGCGUAAAGCGCGCGUAGGCGGCUUUGCAAGUCGAUUGUGAAAUCCCCAGGCUUAACCUGGGAACUGCAUUCGAGACUGCAUAGCUAGAGUAUGGGAGAGGGAAGUGGAAUUUCAGGUGUAGCGGUGAAAUGCGUAGAUAUCUGAAGGAACAUCAGUGGCGAAAGCGACUUCCUGGACCAAUACUGACGCUCAUGUGCGAAAGCGUGGGGAGCAAACAGG